rnacentral:lncRNA from 1 species
GGUAGUGCGUUAAGGAUCAAAGUUGACAGCGAAAGUGUGGUAGCAAUUUUUUCCAUUAAGCGAUCAUGAUAUUAGUGAAAAAUUUUAGGGACGAAAUUUCUUUAAAGAGGGGUGAUUUGUCACACCCCAAAAUUGGGGUUAAGAGGAUCAAGGAUGGUAGGGUGAGUUAGUGAUUUUUUUGUUAGAUUUUUAUGUUUUUCCUUGCUCUUUAAAGACAGAAUAAGCAUACUAGUUUUGUGGGAGUUAGCUUACCCUUAGGUCUUGUGUUUGAAUCGUUG